rnacentral:rRNA from 1 species
UACGUAGGGUGCAAGCGUUGUCCGGAAUUAUUGGGCGUAAAGAGCUCGUAGGCGGUUUCGUUAGUCGGGUGUGAAAACUCCAGGCUCAACCUGGAGACGCCACCCGAUACUGCGAUGACUAGAGUCCGGUAGGGGAGUGUGGAAUUCCUGGUGUAGCGGUGAAAUGCGCAGAUAUCAGGAGGAACACCGAUGGCGAAGGCAGGUCACUGGGCCGCAACUGACGCUGAGGAGCGAAAGCAUGGGGAGCGAACAGG